rnacentral:rRNA from 1 species
GGGGAAUUUUGCGCAAUGGGCGAAAGCCUGACGCAGCGACGCCGCGUGGGUGACGAAGGCCCUCGGGUUGUAAAGCCCUGUGGGGAGGGAAGAAUAAGGGGCGGCUAACAUCCGCACCGAUGACGGUACCUCCUUAGCAAGCACCGGCUAACUCUGUGCCAGCAGCCGCGGUAAGACAGAGGGUGCAAACGUUGUUCGGAAUUACUGGGCGUAAAGCGCGUGUAGGCGGCUACGCAAGUCGGAUGUGAAAGCCCUUGGCUCAACUGAGGAAGUGCAUUCGAAACUGCGUAGCUCGAGUCCCGGAGAGGAUGGUGGAAUUCUCGGUGUAGAGGUGAAAUUCGUAGAUAUCGAGAGGAACACCAGUGGCGAAGGCGGCCAUCUGGACGGUGACUGACGCUGAGACGCGAAAGCAUGGGGAGCAAAC